UUUUGGACUGCUUUAUUGUCUCUUUGCUUCUGUAUUCUGAUUCCAGAUAUGAUCACCUGUUGCUGACCCUGCCUGGACUUUGAUCUCUGCCUCAUGACUUGGACUGUUUGGAACUUGGUUCUCCCAGAUACCUUCAGCUGCUAAUGGAAGUGCUGGAUCACCAUGAACACACAGGGACAGAGGUCUCCAGGGCAUCCUCACCUGCUCAGACAUCACCAACCACCACCAUGACUCACAGGGACUCCAGUGGAGAAGAUAGAGGAAGGGUCCUGGUCAUGUCACCUGCUGCUUCCUCUGAGGAGGAUGGACCGGGGAACUCAACCUCCACACCUGUUCCACUUGCAAUGCUGCCGCCAAGGACACUCAGGCUACUGAGGCAGGCUGCCACCAAGGCACGAAACGACAGGGUUCUGAAUGCCAUCAGAAAAUGCGAGCAUUGGCUGAGUGAGAUGGUGAGACAAUCUGUCUGGCUGCAGGCAAAUUCAUGGCUGUUCAGCACGAAAGGAACCUCACUUUGUCCAGGAGACAUCCAAGCCCCGGCAGGACCAGCAAAUAAUGACCGGGCUCCUGGAAACAAUUCUAUGCCUGCUGGUUGACAGUUCCACUAUUGCCCCUGCCAGGGAGAAGCACAAGCCAGUACUGAUCCAUGCUUUGUCAUCCAC